UAUAUCCGCUGCAGAGAUUUCGGUCGAAGCUUGGGUAUACUUAGUGGCGGACGGUUCAUCAACGCGUGGGCAACCUAAAAACAUACUGGGGGAUAGCAGUUGGAAACGACUGAUAAUACCGCAUAAGCGCACAGUGUCGCAUGACACAGUGUGAAAAACUCCGGUGGUAUGAGAUGGGCCCGCGUCAGAUUAGCUAGUUGGUGAGGUAAAGGCCCACCAAGGCGACGAUCUGUAGCCGGACUGAUAGGUUCGGGACUGUCCACAUUGGGACUGAGACACGGCCCAAACUCCUACGGGGAGGCAGCAGUGGGGGAUAUUGCACAAUGGAGGAAACUCUGAUGCAGCGACGCCGCGUGAGUGAAGAAG
rnacentral:rRNA from 1 species